rnacentral:rRNA from 1 species
UACGUAGGGGGCAAGCGUUGUCCGGAAUCAUUGGGCGUAAAGGGCGCGUAGGCGGCGUGGUAAGUCAGCUGUGAAAUCUCCGAGCUUAACUCGGAACGGUCAGCUGAUACUGCUGUGCUAGAGUACAGAAGGGGCAAUCGGAAUUCUUGGUGUAGCGGUGAAAUGCGUAGAUAUCAAGAGGAACACCUGAGGUGAAGACGGGUUCGCUGGGCUGAUACUGACGUGAAGCGCGAAAGCUAGGGUAGCAAACGGG